ensembl:lncRNA
UGUAGACAUUAUGACAUUAUGCUAGUACAAUUAUGGUGAACAAAAAGUACAUCUAAAAGUUAAUUUCAAGAAUACUGUUAUGUACUAAAACGGGGGCCAAUAUAGUCCCAAGAAGCAUUAUUAGUAUACGUACUAGGUAAGGUAUACUUGGGAAAUAUAAUUGAAGUAUACUUAUUUUUUAUAGUAAUGUUUAAAAAUGACUUAAUUUAGCAGGGUGUUCCUUUUUUCUCUUCUUAUUCUUUCUGGACCUUCAUUUGUUUUGUAUAAGGUGGUUCUUUUUAAGACACCUCUGCCUAACUACAGUGAACUAACCUAAUAAUAUGCUCUGCACAUUAUCACAGUUUAGCGCGUUGGGUUGUGUUUUUAAAGCAAUUGUUACGUUUUUAAAGCUUUUUAAUGCGACAGGUGCGAUAGCCGACACCACACCUUCACCUGACGUACAACGUGACGUAUGACGCACACGUCGGGUAUUCACUUUCAAAACAACAAUGGGAUAGAAAAUAUUGCUCGAGUGGUUAAUGCUCCUUUCGCUGGUUGCCAACCACCAUUAAAUAACAACAAGAAGAAAAUAUUGAUCUGCUUCUCUUAGUUUUGCACGUUUAAGCCGCAAUUCACACUCAAACAAAGCUGCAAAGCAGGAGAACAACAUGACCAUCAACUAUUCUGUGCCACAGAUCCAGUUCGCUGCAGCACAGAGUGAUGAUGAGACCGUUAACAUGUGCAACUUAGAAGUAGUCAGAGGUAACUGGAUGUUCAAUCGGGUUAAAUGCAAGGUUGAUUGGAUUAUAUCUGAAGAUCGUAUGCUAUUCGUGAUAACUCUGCUAGACUCCAAAUUGCUCGUCCAUGCGGAGUAUCCCAAAAUUAAAUGAAACCACUUAACACUUUUUCCCUAAAACGGACUGACAUGGGACACAUUAAAGUUGGAUCGGAACCAGCUAAUCAGUCUGAAGAUGAUCCAUGGCCCAUGCUUUCUGGACAUUUACACAAGAUGAGCAACAAUGAAGACAAGCUCUCUUGCCAUCUUGCAAGACGCUGUCUCUGUCCAACAGGUUUUUUGAGUGCAACAGUGUUGAUUUUUUUCCCUUCUUUUACCCGUUUGUUAAAAAUUAUUGCAGCUACUUACACUUUAAUUGUCACAUGUAUUGGCUCACCCUACAAAUCAAUGAACUCAGUCCACAAAGCAAGAUCAGGGUUCAGUGCAGGUCAGUCAAGUUCCUUCACACCACACACGCUCAUCCAUGUCCUUGUGGACCCUGCUUUGUGCAUUGAUUUGGUGGUGUGAGCCAGUAUUUUGGACAAAGUGUAUAUAAAGGCAGAAGUGUGGGGCUUGAUAUUAUAUUCAUUACAAUUCAGUUUAUUUGUAUGGUGCCAACAAAAUGAAUGCCAAGGCACUUCACAUUGUAGGUUUAACACUAGGUUUACUAUCCUGCGCAAAUUUGCGUAACUUCCUAAACCCAUACUCCUAGAAUUACUGGCUUUUUAUUUCUGGUGCAAGUCCGAGGGUUAAGCACCCUGCUGAGAUUUUCACAGGUCGUCAGCUGUUUCUCCUACAGCUUU